UCAAGAGUAUUUCUUCUCUGGUGAAGUUUCUGGAUACUGGAUGGUGGUAGUGGGGACUUUAUUGUGGCUUGCCUGUACGUAGGACUGACUACACCCUCCCGCGGGAUACACACUGCAGUGUGUUCUCACAGGGAUGUACCCAUCUGCUUCCCAGCGUUGGGAGUUACUAAACCUUUGCCGUACAGACACCACCAGAUACUCAACUGGUGUUUCCAUUUAGCUUUUCCAGAAUGCUGUGGGAUGACGGCUCUCAAGAUUUAUGUUCCCUGUCUGUACAGCCCAGGCAGCUGCCCUGCAGCCUUCUCCCUGCUCUCCUGCUAAUUUGCCUUAAUCCCGAGUUUAAGUGAGCUUCCCUAUGGAUAAGAGUGGAAUUCAGACCCUCUGGUCCUCCCUAGCCUUGGUUUCUCUGUUGCCCACAAGGGGUCCGUGUGGGAUGGUGGCACAAGUCAGGUAUUUACACCAGUUCCCCAGCAGCUGGAUGAAAACCCCUUCCAAGGAGAUCAGAGCAGGUUUAGCAGCAAAGCACCAGCCCAGGGCAUGUGCAGCCACAGGUUGUUUCCGUUAGAGUACAGAUGCCAUAAAAUAUGUUUUCUUUAAAAGCAGGAGCUAAUGUGAUUAUAGCAGUUGGAUUAAUCUAAUAUUCUCCUUCAUCUUCAAAAGAGAAUUGCCUAAAUAGCCAGAGACACAUUUUAUGAGCCCUUCUUAAGGGCUAUCAAUCAAACUUCCCAAGAAAGGCACUGAUGCCCCUUUUUGCUCACAAGAGGGAAAUCAGAUUCCCCACGGCUUCGCUCUCAGCCUGCUGCAGCCUUGCAGUGUAAUAGCUGCAUUGUGAAUGGUCUGGACAUCAUUUUCUUCCACUGGUCCAGAGAAAAAACCCACAUGGAGGCAACCUGUAAGAAGAAAGGGAAAGCAGCCCAAUUAGAGGCAGUGAUCGCUCUGCUCUCUGCCCUCUCUCCCCCUGGAUGAAGCAGAUGUAAAACAAUAGCUUUAUUGGUGAAAAUUUUAAUUGAGGAGUUCAAAGGAAGCGGCGGAGGCUCUUUUGAUCCCUCGCUGCGUUUGAAUGCCCCGGUGCAGCGGUGCCUGCUGACCUCCAGUGUUAAUUAGUGUUUAUCUGAAAUCGAAUUAGCUCACGACCGGCAGAAAGCAGAGUGAAAAUCGGCUGUAAUCAUAGAUCUGGGUGAUUCUCAAUGCGAGGUAAAAGCAGGGCUUUGCCUGCUGGAGCCGACGUGAAACUCACUCUGAGAACUUCACAGUUUUUGCUUUGUUUUUCUAAUACUCUUCAGUCAGAUGGUGCUAUUUCUCUUACUAAUACCCCGGGCUGCCUUCAUCUUUGCUGAGUCUGCUGGUCCACGUUGCUCACUGGAACUUAAACCAUAAACCAACACUGAACAAUGAUGCAUUAUUUAUAGGAGACCGAAUGCUGGGAGGUUGACAAUAGUGCAAAGCUGCUCUUUCUUGUGCUCUGUAAUCCGUAAAUAAAUACAUCAUCUAUUUCAGUUUGCAGAACUCUCUGAUGGAUGGGAAUAGCCUGUGUUAUCCGAAGGCGCCGAGGUUGCUGUGAAAGCCAGCACCUGCUUUUGGGGUCUUGAUUUGAUUAUAGCUGAUGGUGAACAAGCUGGUUAACAAAUAGACACACACAAGACUCACAUGAUGGCGAGGGAGACUAACUGAAAUGAAACAGAUCCAUUUCACCUAAAAUCUACCCAGCAUGUGUUUGUAAGCACAUGAUGCUGAUAUUCAGAACACACCUGAGCCUCACUGCUGUUUCCCAGCCUGGCACUCAUCUCAAUCAAAACUCCCAUCCUGAAUCCAAGCAGGGUGCAACCUCAGGGUGAGUCUCUGCUCAUUGCUGGCUCUAGGGCCCUUCUAUGCAGAAAUCCCUUUUGCCAUGAACACAUUUCAAACACAAGCUUCUGAAUCUCAUUACUUGCUGUCUUUUCCUCUUCCAUUUGUUUUUCUUCUAACAAUGCACCUGCCAAUAUCUGCCCCUGAGCUCCGUUUUAAGUGGUGUUUUCCAUAGUUAAUGUCCCACUCUUGCUCCCUAUCCAUCUUUGGCAACUGCUGACUGCCUGCAGCAGGACCAGAGGAAGAGGGAAAGACCUCCCUGGGUAUAACAAUAACACAACACCCAUUCCUGGAAGAAUGAUGAGAUGGGCUGUGUCAUAAAUAUUUAUAAGAGCAAGCGUAAUGAAAUGAAUGGCUAGUAUACUGAGGCUCCCUUAGGCUUUGGUCAUCACAUGUUUUUUAGCUCUUUUCUUUCUUCUCUGUGAUACAGAAUUGUCCUGGUGUCCCUGGGUUGUCGAGCAAAUUGCUUAUUGUGUUGCUCACUUACACAAUGCAUGUUAUUAUGUGCAACCAGCUGCUCCUGUUUGGCAUUGCUCACACAUACAGAACAGGAGGCCACAGGCACUCUUCUCGCCUGGAAGUCAACGUUCCUUCUAGUGCCGAAGUUGCUGCCAGACCAGAAGAAGCCUGGCAGCAAAGCGAGUCCUGGUGGAAAAGGUCCCUCAGAGACUUCUUUCCUGGGAAGACCAAGGCUGCAGUUCUGCAGGGUUUGAGCCCACGCAGGUUUGUGCUGCCGUUGAAAGCUUCCUCGUGCCUCUGUCUGCAUGUUCCCAUUGCUCUCCUUGUGCUGGCACUAACUCUAGGGUGAGUGCACGGAGUGCUGGAGCUGAUUUUCUUAUUGUUGUUGCCUGUUAAGUUUUCAGCACCAUCCUUCCCUCUGUCCAGCUCCAGGCUCAUUCAAGCAGUAAUGCCAACACAAAGGAAAGAGCAGCCAACUCUUCUGGUUAUUAGAGCAGCUUAAAUGCAUUCUAAAAUGUCAAACUCAGUGUAGCAGACCUGUCUGGAGUCAGAGAUGCUCAGAAACUGGAGCAAGGCUGUAUUUGAGACUGGGAAGUUUAAUCCUGCUUGGGAGAGAAAGAACCAAAGCGUGGUCCCAAGCACGUUUCAGGCACUGACCCCCUGCGAGAUGGGGGCUGAGUAGCUGCAGGCAGCACUUCUUACCUGCUGAACUGGAGGGCAUUAACAAGUGC